AGCAAAUCACUGACUGAUGUGGGUUCAAUCACGUUAUAGACAGGUACAAUGUAUGGGGUUCGGACCGCGCUUCUGGUCCAGGUCAGUUUGCAAGUUCUUAAUCCUUCUUACUUCCUCGUUUACAAAGAGAGCCUGAGGGCUGCAAAUAUCCCUCAAGUAGA